UAACUCAGAGUGCAAUCGUCU
rnacentral:misc_RNA from 1 species